AAUCUAUGCUCUCUCCCUCCUUCCUCUUUAAUCAACCCCUGUUUUGAAGCCAAAGUUAAGUAAUUUGUUUUCAAUCUCUCUUUUUAUAAUCCCGCUUUUAAAUUAAUUCCUUAUCAUUUAAAUUUAAAGAUGUCUUUGUUAGACUUUUUCAAAUGAUGUUUUCAUCUGUGCAACAUAUCAUAUAUUUCUAAUAUACUUAAUAACAUUCUGAACCUGAUUGCCAGAUAUAUUUUUAAAGAACAAAGUGUUUGUUAAUAGUUUUUCUUUUGGAAGAAUAAAGCUGGUCGCAAGGAACACAAUGCGUUGAACACUAAGGGUUCGUUUGGUUGUACUGAUAGUAUUGUGUUUGAUAGUAUUGUGAUAUCUGAUUGUAUUCCAUUGUGUGUUGAGAUUUAUAUCUCAGUUGAUGUUUGAUUGCACUGAUAGCAUCUACCUUGAUAAGUUCCACGGUGUUUGUUUGGGAAUGAAGAAACUACUGAUACAAAUAUGAUGGACAAAUAUGACCUCACAAAAUAACAUAUUGUCAAUGAUGCUACUGAAGAGUUGGAGAAGCAUUUACACAUGGUGAUGCAGCUUCGUGCUUAAAAAUGGUGGAGUGAAGGGCUAUAAUGGUGACUUGGCCGAAUUUCACCAACCGGGCUUUGCGAGAUUGAGUAUUAUCGGAGGGGAGGUCCUGGGCAGGAUUUUACGGUGGUUUGCAGUUAGCUAUCAUAAAUGCAUUCGGAUCUUGAUUUGUUUACCGGGUCGACGAGAUAGUAUAUCAGUACAACCAAACACCUGAUAUACCUCCGAUAGGCGGCCCUAUCAAGGCCUAUCAGUACAACCAAACGAGGCCUAAAAGGCUUACCAACCGACUUAGAAGUUUGCCAACCGACUUACAAGCUUUAUAAGUAAAAAAGUACAACAAUUACAAAAACAAUUUGGUCGUUACCCAUAUAUGGCAAUCAGGGUAAAAAAUUUAUUAAAAUUUAGAACUGAGAAUAGAAAUACCCCAAAUGUUAUCCAGAGUAAUGAAUUACAUAUGCCCAUUGAUUACUCAAA